GCAUAUCAAUAAGCGGAGGAAAAGAAACCAACCGGGAUUGCCUCAGUAACGGCGAGUGAAGCGGCAAGAGCUCAAAUUUGAAAGCUGGCUCCUUCGGAGUCCGCAUUGUAAUUUGCAGAGGAUGCUUUGGGUGCGGCCCCCGUCUAAGUGCCCUGGAACGGGCCGUCAGAGAGGGUGAGAAUCCCGUCUUGGGCGGGGUGUCCGUGCCCGUGUAAAGCUCCUUCGACGAGUCGAGUUGUUUGGGAAUGCAGCUCUAAAUGGGUGGUAAAUUUCAUCUAAAGCUAAAUACUGGCCGGAGACCGAUAGCGCACAAGUAGAGUGAUCGAAAGAUGAAAAGCACUUUGAAAAGAGAGUUAAACAGCACGUGAAAUUGUUGAAAGGGAAGCGCUUGCGACCAGACUCGCCCGCGGGGUUCAGCCGGCAUUCGUGCCGGUGUACUUCCCCGUGGGCGGGCCAGCGUCGGUUUGGGCGGCCGGUCAAAGGCCCCUGGAAUGUAGUACCCUCCGGGGUACCUUAUAGCCAGGGGUGCAAUGCGGCCAGCCUGGACCGAGGAACGCGCUUCGGCACGGACGCUGGCAUAAUGGUCGUAAACGACCCGUCUUGAAACACGGACCAAGGAGUCUAACAUCUACGCGAGUGUUCGGGUGUCAAACCCGUGCGCGCAGUGAAAGCGAACGGAGGUGGGAGCCCCCUCGCGGGGCGCACCAUCGACCGAUCCUGAUGUCUUCGGAUGGAUUUGAGUAAGAGCGUAAAUGUGGGGACCCGAAAGAUGGUGAACUAUGCCUGAAUAGGGCGAAGCCAGAGGAAACUCUGGUGGAGGCUCGCAGCGGUUUCUGACGUGCAAAUCGAUCGUCAAAUUUGGGGUAUAGGGGGCGAAAGACUAAUCGAACCAUCUAGUAGCUGGGUUCUGCGA
rnacentral:rRNA from 1 species